rnacentral:rRNA from 1 species
GAUGAACGCUAGCGACAGGCUUUAACACAUGCAAGUCGAGGGGCAGCGGGGGUAGCAAUACCCGCCGGCGACCGGCGCACGGGUGAGUAAACGCGUAUGCAACUUACCUAUCAGAGGGGGAUAACCCGGCGAAAGUCGGACUAAUACCGCAUGAAGCAGGGAUCCCGCAUGGGAAUAUUUGCUAAAAGAUUUCAUCGCUGAUAGAGUAGGCAUGUCCGUUCCAUUAGGCUAGUUGGGCGGGGUAACCGGCCCAACCCAAACCGACGAUGGAGUAGGGGUUCUGAGAGGAACGGUCCCCCAC